rnacentral:rRNA from 1 species
CCUACGGGUGGCAGCAGUAGGGAAUCUUCCACAAUGGACGAAAGUCUGAUGCAGCCAAGCCGCGUGAGUGAUGAAGGGUUUCGGCUCUGUAAGCUCUGUUGGUAGUGGAGUAAGAUAGUGGUAGUAACUGGCCUUUUUUUGACGGUAUUUAUUUAGAACGUCACGGCUAACUACGUGACAGGCGCCGCGGUAAUACGUCGGUGGCGAGCGUUGUCCGGAUUUAUUUGGUGUAAAGGGAGUGCAGGCGGUUCAAUAAGUCUGAUGUGAAAGCCUUCGACUCAACCGGAGAAUUGCAGCAGAAACUGGUGAACUUGAGUGCAGAAGAGGAGAGUGGAACUCGAGGUGUAGCGGUGAAAUGCGUAGAUAUAUGGAAGAACACCAGUGGCGAAGGCGGCUCUCUGGACUGCAACUGACGCUGAGGCUCGAAAGCAUGGGUAGCGAACAGGAUUAGAUACCCGAGUAGUC